rnacentral:rRNA from 1 species
GACGGAGGAUGCAAGCGUUAUCCGGAAUGAUUGGGCGUAAAGCGUCCGCAGGUGGCAGUUCAAGUCUGCUGUCAAAGACCGGGGCUUAACUUCGGAAAGGCAGUGGAAACUGAACAGCUAGAGUAUGGUAGGGGCAGAGGGAAUUCCUGGUGUAGCGGUGAAAUGCGUAGAGAUCCGGAGGAACACCAAAGGCGAAGGCAGUGUCCUGGGGAGUACCUGACGCUCAGGUGCGAAAGCCAGGGGAGCGAACGGG